CCUACGGGUGGCAGCAGUGGGGAAUAUUGCACAAUGGGGGAAACCCUGAUGCAGCGACGCCGCGUGAGUGAAGAAGUAUUUCGGUAUGUAAAGCUCUAUCAGCAGGGAAGAAAAUGACGGUACCUGACUAAGAAGCCCCGGCUAACUACGUGCCAGCAGCCGCGGUAAUACGUAGGGGGCAAGCGUUAUCCGGAUUUACUGGGUGUAAAGGGAGCGUAGACGGCCAGACAAGGCAGAUGUGAAAGACCAGGGCUCAACCCUGGGACUGCUUUUGAAACUGCCGGGCUGGAGUGUAGGAGAGGUAGGCGGAAUUCCUAGUGUAGCGGUGAAAUGCGUAGAUAUUAGGAGGAACACCAGUGGCGAAGGCGGCUUGCUGGACUGUAACUGACGUUGAGGCUCGAAAGCGUGGGGAGCAAACAGGAUUAGAUACCCCAGUAGUC
rnacentral:rRNA from 1 species